GACGUAGGGCGCGAGCGUUGUCCGGAUUUAUUGGGCGUAAAGAGCUCGUAGGCGGCUUGUUGCGUCGACUGUGAAAGCCCGUGGCUUAACCGCGUGGUCUGCAGUCGAUACGGGCAGGCUAGAGUUCGGUAGGGGAGACUGGAAUUCCUGGUGUAGCGGUGAAAUGCGCAGAUAUCAGGAGGAACACCGGUGGCGAAGGCGGGUCUCUGGGCCGGUACUGACGCUGAGGCGCGAAAGCGUGGGGAGCGAACAGG
rnacentral:rRNA from 1 species